GACGAACGCUGGCGGCGUGCCUAAUACAUGCAAGUAGAACGCUGAAGAGAGGAGCUUGCUCUUCUUGGAUGAGUUGCGAACGGGUGAGUAACGCGUAGGUAACCUGCCUUGUAGCGGGGGAUAACUAUUGGAAACGAUAGCUAAUACCGCAUAACAAUGGAUGACACAUGUCAUUUAUUUGAAAGGGGCAAUUGCUCCACUACAAGAUGGACCUGCGUUGUAUUAGCUAGUAGGUGAGGUAAUGGCUCACCUAGGCGACGAUACAUAGCCGACCUGAGAGGGUGAUCGGCCACACUGGGACUGAGACACGGCCCAGACUCCUACGGGAGGCAGCAGUAGGGAAUCUUCGGCAAUGGGGGCAACCCUGACCGAGCAACGCCGCGUGAGUGAAGAAGGUUUUCGGAUCGUAAAGCUCUGUUGUAAGUCAAGAACGGGUGUGAGAGUGGAAAGUUCACACUGUGACGGUAGCUUACCAGAAAGGGACGGCUAACUACGUGCCAGCAGCCGCGGUAAUACGUAGGUCCCGAGCGUUGUCCGGAUUUAUUGGGCGUAAAGCGAGCGCAGGCGGUUUGAUAAGUCUGAAGUUAAAGGCUGUGGCUCAACCAUAGUUCGCUUUGGAAACUGUCAAACUUGAGUGCAGAAGGGGAGAGUGGAAUUCCAUGUGUAGCGGUGAAAUGCGUAGAUAUAUGGAGGAACACCGGUGGCGAAAGCGGCUCUCUGGUCUGUAACUGACGCUGAGGCUCGAAAGCGUGGGGAGCGAACAGGAUUAGAUACCCUGGUAGUCCACGCCGUAAACGAUGAGUGCUAGGUGUUGGAUCCUUUCCGGGAUUCAGUGCCGCAGCUAACGCAUUAAGCACUCCGCCUGGGGAGUACGACCGCAAGGUUGAAACUCAAAGGAAUUGACGGGGGCUCGCACAAGCGGUGGAGCAUGUGGUUUAAUUCGAAGCAACGCGAAGAACCUUACCAGGUCUUGACAUCCCGAUGCUAUUUCUAGAGAUAGAAAGUUACUUCGGUACAUCGGUGACAGGUGGUGCAUGGUUGUCGUCAGCUCGUGUCGUGAGAUGUUGGGUUAAGUCCCGCAACGAGCGCAACCCCUAUUGUUAGUUGCCAUCAUUCAGUUGGGCACUCUAGCGAGACUGCCGGUAAUAAACCGGAGGAAGGUGGGGAUGACGUCAAAUCAUCAUGCCCCUUAUGACCUGGGCUACACACGUGCUACAAUGGUUGGUACAACGAGUUGCGAGUCGGUGACGGCGAGCUAAUCUCUUAAAGCCAAUCUCAGUUCGGAUUGUAGGCUGCAACUCGCCUACAUGAAGUCGGAAUCGCUAGUAAUCGCGGAUCAGCACGCCGCGGUGAAUACGUUCCCGGGCCU
rnacentral:rRNA from 1 species